rnacentral:rRNA from 1 species
UACGUAGGGUGCAAGCGUUGUCCGGAAUUAUUGGGCGUAAAGAGCUCGUAGGCGGUCUGUCGCGUCGGCUGUGAAAUCCCGAGGCUCAACCUCGGGUCUGCAGUCGAUACGGGCAAACUAGAGUAUUGCAGGGGAGACUGGAAUUCCUGGUGUAGCGGUGAAAUGCGUAGAUAUCAGGAGGAGUACCGGUGGCGAAAGCGACUCUCUGGACGGCAACUGACGCUGAGGCACGAAAGCGUGGGGAGCAAACAGG